rnacentral:rRNA from 1 species
AUUGAACGCUGGCGGCAGGCUUAACACAUGCAAGUCGAGCGGAGAUGAGGUGCUUGCACCUUAUCUUAGCGGCGGACGGGUGAGUAAUGCUUAGGAAUCUGCCUAUUAGUGGGGGACAACAUUCCGAAAGGAAUGCUAAUACCGCAUACGUCCUACGGGAGAAAGCAGGGGAUCUUCGGACCUUGCGCUAAUAGAUGAGCCUAAGUCGGAUUAGCUAGUUGGUGGGGUAAAGGCCUACCAAGGCGACGAUCUGUAGCGGGUCUGAGAGGAUGAUCCGCCACACUGGGACUGAGACACGGCCCAGACUCCUACGGGAGGCAGCAGUGGGGAAUAUUGGACAAUGGGGGGAACCCUGAUCCAGCCAUGCCGCGUGUGUGAAGAAGGCCUUAUGGUUGUAAAGCACUUUAAGCGAGGAGGAGGCUACUGAGACUAAUACUCUUGGAUAGUGGACGUUACUCGCAGAAUAAGCACCGGCUAACUCUGUG